rnacentral:rRNA from 1 species
UACGAAGGGGGCUAGCGUUGCUCGGAAUUACUGGGCGUAAAGGGAGCGUAGGCGGACAGUUUAGUCAGAGGUGAAAGCCCAGGGCUCAACCUUGGAGUUGCCUUUGAUACUGGCUGUCUUGAGUACGGGAGAGGUGUGUGGAACUCCAAGUGUAGAGGUGAAAUUCGUAGAUAUUCGGAAGAACACCAGUGGCGAAGGCGACACACUGGCCCGUUACUGACGCUGAGGCUCGAAAGCGUGGGGAGCAAACAGG